AUAUUUCAACGAAUUUAAGGUUAAAACGCGAAAAAGUGAAAAAGUUCUGUGUGUCCUAGUAAUGGUGUGCAACGCGUGUGACAAAUAUUUUUGGCACGGCGAUGAGGACGAUGAGGAGCGCGCUGGUGGACUUCGUACCCGCUAAUAAUAAACGCAAUCGAGUUACACAGGAUCCAAAUGCCGAAUAUUCACACCAACGACAAUACAAUACAAUAAUACUUUUACUGGGUUACUAGACACUGCAAACACGAAUUGAAUGCGCAGUUUCGAUUUCAUUGUGAUUUCGAUUUCGUUUCGGCGUUAAUUGCGCACUAUUCAGGCCAGUAAAUAAAUAUUCAAGCCUACACUACGUAAACAAACGCUUUUAAUGAACUUUACUUCGGUUUUCAAGCACUGAAAAUGAUUCAAAGUGCAUGUGCAUGACUUUAGCGCUAUGUUUUGCAUUAACUAUUGUAUUGGUGCGUCGUGAAUUUAUGUUUAUACGAAAUUUAAAUUACAAUUACCGUGUGGACUUUACUACUACGUGUGCUACGUGAUAGAAAAUACUUUUGCAUCAUUUUCAUAAAUUUAAAAUGUUGUAAUUGAGAAACGCACCCAGGUCGGCGACGGGCAGACGAGAAACAAACAAUCGCCAAGGCUGAAAAUGCGUGUGGUAUUUUUAGCGAAUGUUUACUUAAACUUUUCUUAAUAUUUUUUAAGUAUAAACAAGCCUAUCAGAAGAAAAGUCGGGAAAUCCCUGAAGUACAACAAAGGUUUAUGGAAUAAAUAAAGCCCUCUGAGAGACAAAAGGAAAAACUGAACCAAAGCGCAGACAAAAAAGAGAAAGGAAAGAAAGUUGACCUUGAGAACUACGACUGAAUUACUGGGGUGACUGAGGGGCGACUGAGCGCAGAGCGCACUACGCGCUGCCCUUUUAUACCCUCAACAAGUGGUGGGGGAAGUAAAGC